rnacentral:rRNA from 1 species
ACACGCUGGCGGCGUGCCUAACACAUGCAAGUCGAGCGGGGUUGAGGCGAGAGGUAACUCGAGCUUCUACCUAGCGGCGGACGGGUGAGUAACGCGUGGGCAACCUGCCUCAAGGUUUGGGAUAACAGCCCGAAAGGGCUGCUAAUACCGGAUAUGCCUAUGGCCUCGCAUGGGGCUAUGAGCAAAGGGGAAACCCGCCUUGAGAUGGGCCCGCGUCCCAUCAGCUAGUUGGUGAGGUAACAGCUCACCAAGGCGACGACGGGUAGCCGGCCUGAGAGGGUGACCGGCCACACUGGGACUGAGACACGGCCCAGACUCCUACGGGGGGCAGCAGUGGGGGAUCUUGCACAAUGGGCGAAAGCCUGAUGCAGCGACGCCGCGUGAGCGAAGAAGGCCUUCGGGUUGUAAAGCUCUGUCUGGAGGGACGAACAAAAUGACGGUACCUCCGGAGGAAGCCACGGCUAACUACGUG